UAGUCCACACCGUAAACGAUGAGAGCUAGUUGUCUGCAAGCAUGCUUGUAGGUGACGCAGCUAACGCAUUAAGCUCUCCGCCUGGGAAGUACGAUCGCAAGGUUAAAACUCAAAGGAAUUGACGGGGACCCGCACAAGCGGUGGAACAUGUGGUUUAAUUCGAUGCUACGCGAAAAACCUUACCAAGUCUUGACAUAAUAGUCGUACGGUUAAGAAACUAACUGGUCAGCUCGGCUGGACUAUUACAGGUGUUGCAUGGCUGUCGUCAGCUCGUGUCGUGAGAUGUUGGGUUAAGUCCCGCAACGAGCGCAACCCUUGUCUUUAGUUGCCAUCAUUUAGUUGGGCACUCUAGAGAAACUGCCGGUGACAAACCGGAGGAAGGUAAGGAUGACGUCAAGUCAGCAUGCCCCUUACGCUCUGGGCUACACACGUGCUACAAUGGUCGUGACAAAGAGUUGCUAGUCUGCGAAGGCAAGCCAAUCUCAUAAACG
rnacentral:rRNA from 1 species